CAACGGCAUUGAGCCUCAAACAUCUGCACAAAGUCAAGUUCUUCUCUUGGCUGUUGCUGGUGUAUCUCUCUGUGUGAACGUCUUCUUCACAGUCUGCAUAGCGCUGCUUUGGAGAGCCAGACAGCAUGCGAAGCCGAAAGAAGAGGACAGAACGUACAUGUCAAUGAAUCGUAGAG